AGUGAACGCUGGCGGCGUGCCUAAUACAUGCAAGUCGAACGAUGAAGUCCUAGCUUGCUAGGAUGGAUUAGUGGCGCACGGGUGAGUAAUAUAUAGUUAAUCUGCCCUACACAGAGGAACAACAGUUGGAAACGACUGCUAAUACCUCAUACUCCUAUUUGACAUAAGUUAAAUAGGGAAAGUCUUUUCGGUGUAGGAUGAGACUAUAUCGUAUCAGCUAGUUGGUAAGGUAAUGGCUUACCAAGGCUAUGACGCGUAACUGGUCUGAGAGGAUGAUCAGUCACAUUGGAACUGAGACACGGUCCAAACUCCUACGGGAGACAGCAGUAAGGAAUAUUGCGCAAUGGGGGAAACCCUGACGCAGCAACGCCGCGUGGAGGAUGACACUUUUCGGAGCGUAAACUCCUUUUAUCAGGAAAGAAUAAUGACGGUACCUGAUGAAUAAGCACCGGCUAACUCCGUG
rnacentral:rRNA from 1 species